rnacentral:lncRNA from 1 species
AAUUACAACACACAAAUGCAUUUAACAUAGAAGUUAUAUUACAAGAAACCCUAAAGACAUUAAAAACACCUUAAACUAAUAAGAAACCCUUUAUAAAAAGGCUUUUUGUUAGGUAAUUGAAAUUUGCAGAGAUAAAACUUCUAAAUCCAGAGAAUGCUAGUUAUAGUUCCUUGUACAUCAUACAGUGAGAAUUGUACAUUACUCUAAACAUAGAAAUUUCUGAUUUGGAAAUCAGUCUGCAACAUCUGUUCUCUUCUUUGCAUCAAGUUAAAGGUUAAUUGGCUUCAACGCUUGUCAACUCCGGCUGCACCUUGC